UUUGGUUAAGUUAGAAAGGGCGCACGGUGGAUGCCUUGACACUAGGAGUCGAUGAAGGACGGGACUAACGCCGAUAUGCUUCGGGGAGCUGUAAGUAAGCUUUGAUCCGAAGAUUUCCGAAUGGGGAAACCCACCAUACGUAAUGGUAUGGUAUCCUUAUCUGAAUACAUAGGGUAAGGAAGACAGACCCAGGGAACUGAAACAUCUAAGUACCUGGAGGAAGAGAAAGCAAAUGCGAUUUCCUGAGUAGCGGCGAGCGAAACGGAACAUAGCCCAAACCAAGAGGCUUGCCUCUUGGGGUUGUAGGACAUUCUAUACGGAGUUACAAAGGAACGAGGUAGACGAAGCGACCUGGAAAGGUCCGUCGUAGAGGGUAACAACCCCGUAGUCGAAACUUCGUUCUCUCUUGAAUGUAUCCUGAGUACGGCGGAACACGUGAAAUUCCGUCGGAAUCCGGGAGGACCAUCUCCCAAGGCUAAAUACUCCCUAGUGAUCGAUAGUGAACCAGUACCGUGAGGGAAAGGUGAAAAGCACCCCGGAAGGGGAGUGAAAGAGAUCCUGAAACCGUGUGCCUACAAAUAGUCAGAGCCCGUUAACGGGUGAUGGCGUGCCUUUUGUAGAAUGAACCGGCGAGUUACGAUCCCGUGCGAGGUUAAGCUGAAGAGGCGGAGCCGCAGCGAAAGCGAGUCUGAAUAGGGCGUUUAGUACGUGGUCGUAGACCCGAAACCAGGUGAUCUACCCAUGUCCAGGGUGAAGUUCAGGUAACACUGAAUGGAGGCCCGAACCCACGCACGUUGAAAAGUGCGGGGAUGAGGUGUGGGUAGCGGAGAAAUUCCAAUCGAACCUGGAGAUAGCUGGUUCUCCCCGAAAUAGCUUUAGGGCUAGCCUUAAGUGUAAGAGUCUUGGAGGUAGAGCACUGAUUGGACUAGGGGUCCUCAUCGGAUUACCGAAUUCAGUCAAACUCCGAAUGCCAAUGACUUAUCCUUAGGAGUCAGACUGCGAGUGAUAAGAUCCGUAGUCAAAAGGGAAACAGCCCAGACCGCCAGCUAAGGUCCCAAAGUGUGUAUUAAGUGGAAAAGGAUGUGGAGUUGCUUAGACAACUAGGAUGUUGGCUUAGAAGCAGCCACCAUUUAAAGAGUGCGUAAUAGCUCACUAGUCGAGUGACUCUGCGCCGAAAAUGUACCGGGGCUAAAUACACCACCGAAGCUGCGGAUUGAUACCGAAUGGUAUCAGUGGUAGGGGAGCGUUCUAAGGACAGUGAAGUCAGACCGGAAGGACUGGUGGAGUGCUUAGAAGUGAGAAUGCCGGUAUGAGUAGCGAAAGACGGGUGAGAAUCCCGUCCACCGAAUGCCUAAGGUUUCCUGAGGAAGGCUCGUCCGCUCAGGGUUAGUCAGGACCUAAGCCGAGGCCGACAGGCGUAGGCGAUGGACAACAGGUUGAUAUUCCUGUACCACCUCUUUAUCGUUUGAGCAAUGGAGGGACGCAGAAGGAUAGAAGAAGCGUGCGAUUGGUUGUGCACGUCCAAGCAGUUAGGCUGAUAAGUAGGCAAAUCCGCUUAUCAUAAAGGCUGAGCUGUGAUGGGGAAGCUCCUUAUGGAGCGAAGUCUUUGAUUCCCCGCUGCCAAGAAAAGCUUCUAGCGAGAUAAAAGGUGCCUGUACCGCAAACCGACACAGGUAGGCGAGGAGAGAAUCCUAAGGUGUGCGAGAGAACUCUGGUUAAGGAACUCGGCAAAAUGACCCCGUAACUUCGGGAGAAGGGGUGCUUUCUUAACGGAAAGCCGCAGUGAAUAGGCCCAAGCGACUGUUUAGCAAAAACACAGCUCUCUGCGAAGCCGUAAGGCGAAGUAUAGGGGGUGACACCUGCCCGGUGCUGGAAGGUUAAGGAGAGGGGUUAGCGUAAGCGAAGCUCUGAACUGAAGCCCCAGUAAACGGCGGCCGUAACUAUAACGGUCCUAAGGUAGCGAAAUUCCUUGUCGGGUAAGUUCCGACCCGCACGAAAGGUGUAACGAUUUGGGCACUGUCUCAACCAGAGACUCGGUGAAAUUAUAGUACCUGUGAAGAUGCAGGUUACCCGCGACAGGACGGAAAGACCCCGUGGAGCUUUACUGUAGCCUGAUAUUGAAUUUUGGUACAGUUUGUACAGGAUAGGCGGGAGCCUUUGAAACCGGAGCGCUAGCUUCGGUGGAGGCGCUGGUGGGAUACCGCCCUGACUGUAUUGAAAUUCUAACCUACGGGUCUUAUCGACCCGGGAGACAGUGUCAGGUGGGCAGUUUGACUGGGGCGGUCGCCUCCUAAAGUGUAACGGAGGCGCCCAAAGGUUCCCUCAGAAUGGUUGGAAAUCAUUCGUAGAGUGCAAAGGCAUAAGGGAGCUUGACUGCGAGACCUACAAGUCGAGCAGGGACGAAAGUCGGGCUUAGUGAUCCGGUGGUUCCGCAUGGAAGGGCCAUCGCUCAACGGAUAAAAGCUACCCCGGGGAUAACAGGCUUAUCUCCCCCAAGAGUCCACAUCGACGGGGAGGUUUGGCACCUCGAUGUCGGCUCAUCGCAUCCUGGGGCUGUAGUCGGUCCCAAGGGUUGGGCUGUUCGCCCAUUAAAGCGGUACGCGAGCUGGGUUCAGAACGUCGUGAGACAGUUCGGUCCCUAUCCGUCGUGGGCGUAGGAAAUUUGAGAGGAGCUGUCCUUAGUACGAGAGGACCGGGAUGGACGCACCGCUGGUGUACCAGUUGUUCUGCCAAGGGCAUAGCUGGGUAGCUAUGUGCGGAAGGGAUAAGUGCUGAAAGCAUCUAAGCAUGAAGCCCCCCUCAAGAUGAGAUUUCCCAUAGCGUAAGCUAGUAAGAUCCCUGAAAGAUGAUCAGGUUGAUAGGUUCGAGGUGGAAGCAUGGUGACAUGUGGAGCUGACGAAUACUAAUAGAUCGAGGACUUAACCAUAUAA
rnacentral:rRNA from 1 species